UGUAUACCCGUCCGUAUCCCCUCAAUAGUCAUUUCAAAAUAUGAUAAAAGAGACCCCAUCCUCUCUUUCCUCCAUCUAGGGGUUGAAGCAAAAUCAUCCUUAGUCCGGUUCUCGUAUCGAUUCAUCUUCCAUCAUCUGCAUCGUAAAUCUCGAGACAGCAUCUUCCAGUUGCAAAACCCAUUCCAACCUCCGCAUGCAGAAUCGAUUGAGAUACCAAAACUUUACCCAAAGUAUUUCUAGCUACGAUUCCUGAUCCCGAUCUGAAGGGCACUUUAUCAAACGUCGUUUCAAAGUUUAUUUUGAUUCUCGCCCUUGUAGGAGGUUCCUAUUUCUUGCCCUCACAUCGUCUGCUUCUUGUUUCUUUCUGUCCACAGGCUCCAUAAUGCAACACACAAUAAAUAACCAAGACCCAGAUCAAGAACGAGUUGGCAAUUGUGGAAAAGAAAAGGUUGUUGAGUAGUCCCUGUACUUUGGCAUUUCUACAAACCAGUCCUUAUGACCUUGAAAACAAGUAAAGUGGAAUACGGAUUUUCUAUCAAGCCUUGGGCCGGAGAUUAUUGUCCGACUUUAAAACAGUGAUAUGGACCGUAGCGAUGGCUUGAGGUCCUGCAUGUGUUGCGGAUUCUCUACAACUUGUGUGAGCAGCAUCAUGAACCGGUUAAAAUACUGAAUGUUAGCUUAAAUGAGCUAUGUCCACUGAUUAUGUGAAAUAAAGAGCUCAUGGUAAUGAUGAUUCAAAAAUAUACACUGAAGUAAUGCUCAUAUUAUUAAUUGUCUAUUGAAAAUGGUGAUUGAGGGGAAUUACAUUGCUCAAUUACAAAUUUGAUUUAUCUUUUUUAAGUUGGUAAGAUUUUUCAUUUAAUCAAACAAACUUACUUAGCUUUAUGUAAGCUUACAUGUA